rnacentral:tRNA from 1 species
UGGGGAAUGGUGUAACGGCAGCACGCGACGCUCUGGACGUCGAAGUUGGGGUUCGAAUCCCUGUUCCCCAG